rnacentral:rRNA from 1 species
CACGCCGUAAACGAUGGAUGCUAGGUGUUGGUGGUAUCGACCCCAUCGGCGCCGUAGCUAACGCGUUAAGCAUCCCGCCUGAGGAUUACGGCCGCAAGGCUAAAACUCAAAGGAAUUGACGGGGGCCCGCACAAGCAGCGGAGCGUGUGGUUUAAUUCGAUGCGACACGAAGAACCUUACCAGGGUUUGACAUGUACGUGGUAGGGAUGUGAAAGCAGAACGACCCCUUCGGGGGAGCGUACACAGGUGC